rnacentral:tRNA from 1 species
GGAGAGAUGGCUCAGAGGUUAAGAGCACUGGCCACUCUUCCAGAGGUCCUGAGUUCAAUUCCCAGUGUCUACA